rnacentral:rRNA from 1 species
UACGUAGGGUGCAAGCGUUACUCGGAAUUACUGGGCGUAAAGCGUGCGCAGGCGGCUUUGCAAGACAGGUGUGAAAUCCCCGGGCCUAACCUGGGAACUGCAUUUGUGACUGCAUAGCUAGAGUCUGUCAGAGGGGGGUGGAAUUCCACGUGUAGCAGUGAAAUGCGUAGAGAUGUGGAGGAACACCGAUGGCGAAGGCAGCCCCCUGGGAUAAGACUGACGCUCAUGUACGAAAGCGUGGGGAGCAAACAGG